CUUCACACGUUUUAUCUGACCUUUAUUAAAUGCAUAAGUUCUCAGCAGGCUGAAAUUCAGGAAUGCCUCUGCUGCAGAUGACCUUCAUGAACAAUAUUUAUGUUCUCAGAACCAGAAGCUCCAUCAGGAAACAAAGACCAGAUUAUCAGGAGGUUUUCCUUUAACACAACGGGGAAGGGAAAGGUUUUUAAAAUUUAUUAACAAAUUCAUUAUGAGAGUCAAUUCAUUAUAUCAGUAGAAUAAAACAGAAAUAUUACUAAAAGAAAGUUGUAAAACUGAGAAAAAGUCAUUUUAAAAGCUCUGCUAGUCAUCAGGCUCUGAUGUUCAUGUGGUUGUUUCUGAAAAAUCAUUUAAAUGAUAAUCUGAUGUUAAAGAGUAUUUAUCUGUAAAACUGACACUAAACGUUUACACAACACUCAACACCCCUCAUUAUGAUGCAGUUUUUGUGAGUUCUCAUAAAAUUACUACUUUCUGUAUUAUUUUGAUCUUAUUCUCGUAUUAUAAAUUAUUUAAGGCUGUUUUUAAAAAGCGUCUUUAGUACUCUGCUGUAUAUUAAAGUAACUGAGCUUCAGAAAUCUGACCUGGUUAAAUAUCAUGUCUGUUUAAACCUGGUCUGCAGGUUGUGUGACAUCAGCAGGAGGGUCAAAGGUCAUGGUUUCCUCCAUCCAGCUUCAGCUCUGCUGUUUCUAAAGAUGAACUGCAGGAGUCUGGAAUGUUUUAUUUUUAAAGGUUUUCGUGGCUCUAGUGGCCUUUUCAGGUCAGACAGGAAAGAGGAAGACGUGUCAAAGGUCACCAGGCCGGGACUCGAACCCGCAGCACUUUUCCCUCAUUUCCAGGUAAAAUGUUGCUGAGACGAGUGAAGGAUUGUUUUGUCUGUUUCGCUGAAGCAGUUCUGGGAAACCAGCCGACCACAGAGUGAGUUUGGGCCAAAGCGCCGCAGGCAGCCGGUCCAACCUGACGGGCAGCAGGGAGGAGCAGGAACCGCACAGGGAGAGGAAACCAGGAGCAGAACCCUGUGGUACCGCCGCCGGGCCGGGAGGGAGAGGUCACAGAGCCGGGCCGGUCCGAACAUCCAGCCAGGUCGGUCCGAUCAUCCAGCCGGGUCGGUCCAAUCAUGCAGCCGGGCCGGUCCGAUCAUGCAGCCGGAUCAUCCAUCCGGGCCGGUCCGAACAUCCAGCCGGGUCGGUCCGAACAUCCAGCCGGGCCGGUCCGAUCAUCCAGCCGCCCUCUGCUCCUGACAGAACAUCAGAAAACAGCUUUAAUACAAACAGCCACAAGGUUCUGGUUCCAGGUCCAUUCCAGGUCUGUCGGCCCGGUUGCAGUGUGUCGGCUGGUUCAGGUUUCUGAGGAAGCCGGUUCUGAUCCAAAUGGGUUAAUUUCAUCUGAAAAGGAGCAGCAGAGGAAGAGAGGUGGUCAAGUUUUCCUCCAUCAGACGCAGCAAAGACUCACUGCAGGACGACUGCACCUGCCUGGGAUCUUCACCUGUCAUCAUCAUCAUCAGUUCUCUGAACCUCCAUUUGUUCUGUGUUUCCCGUUUCCUCCAGGUUAAUCUCUGUCUUCCUGUCUCUUUUCCAUCCUUGACUUCUUCUCUCUCUCCCUCCGUCUCUCCCUCGUUAGCGGGUCUCAUCCCUCACUCCUGUCGUUCUCCUGCGCAUAAUGACGAAGGAAGCGGCGGAGUGGAUGCUUCUGAUCUCCUCGGCUUUUUGAAGUUCUGUCGUCUGUUUUCUCUUUUACUCGCUUUGUGCAUCAUCUUCCCCCAGAGUGUGUGUUUGUGUGUGAAUGUGUCGCCUCUUCUGUCUCUGAAGAGCUCUGAGUGCUUUAUGUAACACACACACACACACACACACACACACACACGGUUUGUUAAAGGGACCCAGAGCUGAACCUGAAUCUCACCUGAGCCGCCAAGCGGAGUCAGAACUCUGAAAGUCCUCUGAAGGACACGGCGUCCUCUCAAACUCUGCGUCCCACACGAGGACGUCCUCACAGCCAACCGUCCAGAGACGCAGGAUCAAACACGCUUCAUCUUCUUCUACUUCCUAUCUUGUUUCCAGGCUGAAGUCUCCAGAUAAUUUGAUAGAUGAGGGUAAAACUGCUCAAGGACUCCUGAACAUGGCAGUGAAGUCUGUAAACAUACAGAGGAUCCACGUUUUACCGCUGGAACAAAGGAGCAGAAACAAAAACUUUAUUACUGAAAGUGGAGAUUCUUUGGCUCCAAAGGGUUAAAUCUUUGUUUCUCAUUCUGUAUUAAAUGUUUAAUUUGAUUAAGUUUCUCCUGAGCUUUCUGUGUGUUUCAGGUUUUGUGUUCAGAUGGAUCUGCUGCAGUGGGACUGAAACCAUCUGAUCAUCUGUGAUGUUCUGAUACUUUCACCUACCGAACCAGAACCUUCCAGAACAUCGUUUCAUAGAGACUCUGUUUUAUUUCCUUCUUUUCUGCCUCGUUUCAGUUUGCAGCUGAAAUAAGAAGCUGAUUUUUUUCAUCAUUACAUUAAAUUAAGUGAAAAUGAAACAUAAAUUUGUGGCAUUUGGUUCAAAAAGUCAGAAUCUCUGAUCGAUUCAGAGACAAACUUUUAUUAGAAAGGAAUGUUUUAUUUGUGAAUAUUUCUGAUUAUUGUUUCUAUAGACAAAUGUUCCAGAACCAGAACCGGCAGUUCUUCCUCACCUCGGUGUUUUCAUUUGAACUUUCCGUUUUAAUGGCGCAGCCGUAAAUAUAAAUCAGGUGUUUUAUUUCGGAUUCGGAUGGAUGAACCGUCCUGUCGGUACUGGGAAGCCGGUGGUGCGAUCCGACUGCAUCGACGCAGGAGGACCGUCAGAGACGGUCCUGACCUGAUAUGACUGCAGGGCCGGGUCCAAAGAUCUGCUGUCGGCUCCGUAAUCCUCCAGCCAUGCGAGCCGGCUCAGGCUCCCAGGUUCUGCUGCUAGGUGCCGUCAGUAGAACCUCCCUAAGCCGCUUCCAGCUGCAGGAAGUCAUUCUGGGUUUCUCCUGCAGCAGAGAAAGAGAGCAACAGGAAGCUGCCGUGUGUUUGAGUGGGACAGCCUGAUGACGGGACGUCCAACUUGUGACGCCUCCACUGAAGGACAACAACUCUCUCACUUUCUGGGAAAUAAACUGGAGAAGUUCAGCUUUGGGAAGCUGACUCUGCGUUAGAGUCUGAGAAAGAGAUUCUGUUAGAAAGUUUUAAAGUGAUUUAUGCUGAAACAUAUUCAUUUGACUCAUGAGUUAUUACAGCAAUUUGAUGAUGGGAAAGAGAGGAUGUUCUUCAUCCUAACUAAAACUGAAGCAGAGGAACAUUUGGGUCAGUACAGAACCAGAACUGGAUCGGACAGAAAGCUCUGUGGACCUCAUUUAGUAAUAUUUCUAUUGGUGGAAAUGCAAAUGGCCUUGAACUCAACUGAAAUUAAACGUUUGAUUCAUUGCUUCGUUCCUCUAGGUUCAGGUCAAAGGCAGUUUGGUUGUCAUGGCGACGUCUCAGACCUGUGAUGAUGUUCAGGAUGUGACUCUGAAGACCUGGUUUGUUCCUGAAUGAAACAUUUCCAUGCAGACUGAGGAACGUCUGAGCUUUCAGAGAACGGCCAUGUUGGACCGUGGCUCAGAUGAAAACAGAAAUCUGUUGGACCAGCAGCAGAGUCCGGCUUGGUUCCUGUUCCAGCUCCAGCUUCACUUUAUGACUGAAGAGCAGAAGAUGGAGGUGAGAGUGAAGGAUGAUCGGGACAGAGACGAGUCUCCAGGAUCCAGCUGUCUGACUCUGACAAGCGUCCAAUCCAAAGUCCAACCUGCUGCUCCUCACAAUGAACCGUCAGACAUAACAGGCCAAAGCCACAUACAAACAUCAGCAGCUUCAGGAUCCAGCUGUGUGUCUCUGAAGUCCAUAGAAUCACCUCUGGCCUUUAGCCAAGAACCUGCAUCAUCUGGAACAAAAGGGAGGAAGAGGAGCUUUGUGCAUGAGGAGGAGCAGCCAUCCUGCUGUGGUUUGUGCUGCGAUGUCCUGAAGGAUCCGGUCUCUACCAACUGUGGUCACUGGUUCUGCAGACAGUGCACCAGUUCAUACUGGGAUGAGGCAGCUUCAUCAGUAUGAACUGGUGCACUGUCUGCAGAACCAGUGACCACAGUUGGUAGAGACCGGAUCCUUCAGGACAUCGCAGCACAAACCACAGCAGGAUGGCUGCUCCUCCUCAUGCACAAAGCUCCUCUUC